rnacentral:misc_RNA from 1 species
GUAGGUGAACCUGCGGAGGGAUCAUUACUGAGUGAGGGCCCUCGCGGUCCGACCUCCAACCCUUUGUUAUCCAACUCUGUUGCCUCGGGGGCGACCCGGCCUUCGGGCGUCGGGGCCCCCGGUGGACCCAACCAACAACCCUGCAUCUUUGCGUCUGAGUACAUAUUUGAAUCAAUCAAAACUUUCAACAACGGAUCUCUUGGUUCUG